CAUCAUUGCAAGCAUGCAUGGGCCACAUCAUGUUGGAUGAUGGAUUAAGCAUCUAGAUGACACCUGCUGUUUGUUGACAUACGUGAAACAGUUUUCUCAUGGACCGUGAACGUAGCAGCUUUUAGGGUCAAGACAUAUUGGAAGAGAACUACAUCUCUUAGGACUUCUCUAAGGGAUAUGGGGCUGACAUCUGCAAUCUCAGGUUUGACCAUUCUUCAUCCAUCCAUCCGUCUGUCUGUCCAUCCAUCCAUCCCUUCAUUUAAUUCAAUAAAUAUUUAUUGAAUACCUA